rnacentral:rRNA from 1 species
AUUGAACGCUGGCGGCAUGCCUUACACAUGCAAGUCGAACGGCAGCACGGGGCAACCUGGUGGCGAGUGGCGAACGGGUGAGUAAUGCAUCGGAACGUACCUUUCAGUGGGGGAUAACGUAGCGAAAGUUACGCUAAUACCGCAUAUUCUGUGUGCAGGAAAGCAAGGGAUCGCAAGACCUUGCGCUGAUUGAGCGGCCGAUGUCAGAUUAGCUAGUUGGUGAGGUAAAGGCUCACCAAGGCGACGAUCUGUAGCGGGUCUGAGAGGAUGAUCCGCCACACUGGAACUGAGACACGGUCCAGACUCCUACGGGAGGCAGCAGUGGGGAAUUUUGGACAAUGGGGGCAACCCUGAUCCAGCCAUGCCGCGUGAGUGAAGAAGGCCUUCGGGUUGUAAAGCUCUUUCGGCCGGGAAGAAAUCGCACGGGCUAAUACCCUGUGUGGAUGACGGUACCGGAAUAAGAAGCACCGGCUAACUACGUGCCAGCAGCCGCCGUAACAC